rnacentral:rRNA from 1 species
UACGUAGGUGGCGAGCGUUGUCCGGAUUUACUGGGCGUAAAGCGCGCGCAGGCGGUCGUGCAAGUCGCGUGUGAAAGCCCCCGGCUCAACUGGGGAGGGUCAUGCGAUACUGUUCGACUCGAAGGAAGGAGAGGGAAGUGGAAUUCCCGGUGUAGUGGUGAAAUGCGUAGAUAUCGGGAGGAACACCAGUGGCGAAGGCGACUUCCUGGCCUGUUCUUGACGCUGAGGCGCGAAAGCUAGGGUAGCAAACGGG